CCCUAAUGAGGAGAAGCAGUAUAGAAAAUGGAUGAAUGGAAAUCGCGAGUGGAGGUGAUGUCCGGUGGGCGGGAAGAGACGACGCAAUCCCCUCAUGCCGCCUGUUUCUCCCCAAACACUGAUGUCAUUCAGCGUCGGCAUCGGAUCACAGGAAGGACGAGGAACACCGAAGGGAGGAAUGAAGCACCAGAAUGACCACACGGGUUCCAGGAUGGAGUUCUGUGUGUUUGCACAGCCUCAUGUGCACUUUGGAGCUGAUUGGCGCCUUUUUCACCUCGUGUUGUUAUUACCUGGACACUGGACACUGGACACUGGACACUGGACAUUGGACGGGCCCCGUCAGCCACUUUCCACAAACGAUACAGCUUGACUUUAUGGCUUUUUCCACAAAUGAAAGCCAUAAAAAAGAAGGGGGUCACGGGAUGCUGAGCAAGGAUGUUGGAUGCUUUUCCAGUUGAGGCUUUCCGCCAGCAGAGCGCCCCUCCCCUCCCAGGAGAACAUCCAGCUGGAAGCCAUUGGGGGUGGGGGAGGAUGGGCUCAUUGAAAGUGAACGUGUUCUAAAAAAAAACCCCAAAAACAAAUAAAACAUCAUGACUCACCAGCCAUGUUUCCCGAAAGACACAAAUUUUGAACCUGCAUUUGUGAAGUCAUUCAUGAAAAAUAUUUGUUACGACUUUGGAGAGGGUUGAGAAUAUUUUUCAGUCAGGCCAGUCAAGCAGCGGUGAAUCACCCCCCCCCGCACCAC